ACCACCAUAAUGAAACAGUAAUUAGCUGGAACGUGCCUACUGACGAGCCAGUUGUCCAAUUGCCCCGCCUUCGGGGCGCGUAGGGAUGUGGUCGGAGCGAUUUCUGCCUAAACAAUUUGGGAGCUCCAGUACGUGGAAGAGGCAAGGCGGCGCAGGGUUGUCUCCAGCUCCUGAUUCACUCUCUCAGUCUGGCCGUUAGAUUGGGGGUGGAAAAGGGACCAUAAGCUGACCGUGGCUUCCUCAAGAGAACAGAAACGGGAUGUGAACGGUGGUCCUCAGUCAGACAGCCGAGGGAAGGAAGCCGUGCAGCCUGAACUCGUGUUGAGCCAUGAGAGUGGUUAGGGAGAGCAACGAAGCCGGCAGUCGUGGAGAAUCGAUCUAAAACGACCAGGAUGGAGGUGUUUCUAUCAGACAGGGAGAGAUGGUGUGGCCUCCACAGACCCCUAGUCUCAAUAUCAAGUUGUCUGGGAUUACUUGGAGAGACUGAAGCAAGCGAGACAAACCGAAGUCUGCAGAAGAAUGGUGGCUGCAAGCCCACAACCCUCAUUGCUCAUUGAUACUAAUGGAAUUUCAGAUGCUGUGAUACAAAUCAAGGACUUGUUUCUAUUUGAAUGGUCGAACACUGAGGUUCAGAGCUGCCAGCUACAGCCAGAGCAACUGAGACCAACAUCUCCUGGUUUGUCAACAUGUCAAACUUGUCCAAUAACAGAAAUGUGAAAUUGCUUGCAGCAUUUUAUCUUACUAAUGGCAAUCUAACAAUGCAUUCUUUUUAAGAUCCGUGAUCCAAUAACAACAGGUAAUGUGUUUGUAUGUAUUAUUGCAAGGUUGAUGGCAAUCAGGUUUGGGGCUAAAAAUGGCUCAUGCUCUAGCAAAAGGCAACAAGUCGUCUCGUGUCAAAAGUUAAAGUCACUCCCUCCUUUUCUGCCUCUUAUUGAUCUGUCAUUUUGAUGCUUAGCCAGAAAUAAUAACAACCUUUACUGAAAUAAAGUGAAGAUUUUCCAGAAUGAUACCAGGACUUGAGGAUGCAAAUGCAAGAGAUUCUGCAGAUGCUGGAAAUCUGGAGUAAUGGACAUUAAACACUGGAGGAUCUCAGCAGAUCAGGCAGCAUCUAUGGAGGGACAUAAAGAGUCGAUGUUUUGGGCUGAGAUAUUUAUCAGGACUUGUUACACAAAACAGACAUCUUUGGCUCAAACAUAGAUGGCAGAGGGAUGAGGAGAUAAUGAUGAUAAAACAAACCUACAGAACUCUCUCUAUUGGUUAAUUGAAGGUGUGGAAUGUUGAAUUGCAAAGGGAAAAUGCUGAUGUUAACAUGUAAAGACAUCCAUAAUAAAGCCUGGAAAUAAUCUGUUUCUGAUUGUCAGCCCAAAAUUGUAAUUUUGCCAUUUAACUCACUAGUGCUGCCCUGAAGUAGUUGAAAUAUUUAUUAUUAUUCAGUGAGGAUGUCUUUUAAACUAAUUUGGUGUUCUAUUUUGUUCUGCUUUCUCCACCCUCGUGCAUUGCCAAUAUUCCUCCUCCUUAACUAACAGAAAAAUCACUAACACUUUGGACAGUGAUAUUCCUCUUACAUAAUGUUCUGAAUGUUUGCUUCUUGAUUCUCUUCACCAAGAGGGAAAUCAAGGUGGGGUAUGCAUAGUAAGCUACAUCUUCAGUCUCCCUUAACUGAGACAAGGCAGUGUAAAAAGAGGACAUUUGUCUUACUGAGUCUGCAACAGUUUUUCUAAGAGACAUUCCAUUAGUACCACUCAGUGCUCUUCCCUAAAACUCUGUAAUAAACUUCUUUAAGUAUUCACCCAGCUCUCUCUUGUCAGCUACUGUACUAUCCAGUCACUUCAUUGCUCUGGCAGUGUAUUCCGAAUUCUAAGCGUUUACUGCAUAAAAGUCUUUCUCCUCAAGUCAUGUUGCCCUCUCAUUAGGGAUGCUUAUCCGCUGCAGACAAUGUCUCUCUGUUUUACUUAUUUAUCUAAACCCUUUCUUAACUGUGUACACCUGUCAAAUAUCUUCUCAGGAUUUUCUUCUUUAGGAAAAAGUAUCACAGAUUAGAGAGCUUCCUCAGCUUCUCAGUCCAUAUAUGUAAUACAUACAUGUUCACAAAACAAUUCCAGCAACUCUCUCUCUCUCUCUCCCAUUUCUAGCAUUUCACACCUCUCCUGAUGUGGAUGCAUUUUUCAGAUGGAGCCAAACUAGCCCGUUGCAAUGAUUUAGUACAAGACUUACUCUGUGACUUUGUUUAUGGAGUUGUGCUGUUCUUAUGCAGUCUCUAUGCUUUGUUAACCUGUUCAGCCAGUACAAAAAUGCACAAACAUACACAAUUAUUCCCCGACUUGAAACAUUUGCCAUUAAUUGUCCCUUCUCAUUCUUCCAAACAAAACAUAUCCUCUUAUACAUUACUGCACAAAAUUUCAACCACUGUCUGCCCAUUCCACCAAGCUGUUUAUAUUCUUUUGAAAUUUUAGUAAUAUUCACUUUUUUUCCUAUACUCUGCAUCAAUUCAAAAUUCUGAAGUAUGUCCAGGGCUUACAAACAAGUGUUAUUAAUGCAAAUCAAAGGUAGCACCAGUCUGUGAGAAAUGCCAUUGUUCACUCUCUGCUGUUCAAAAAUAUUCAUCUUAUGAAAAUCAUUAUUCAUCCAUUCCUAAGCCAGUUUUCCAAGUGUACUACAGUCCCUUUUGUCCUAUGAUUCAACUUUUUGAACACUUUAUCAAGCAUAUUAGUAAAUUCAGUAUGAAUAUCCUUGCUGUUAUCUAUGAAUGCUAUACAUUAAAAACUCAAAUCAAUUUAGUCUCAAAUACUAAUACAAGUUUUCUAUACUGGACCAAACUUGUCCAAGCAUCUUAAUUUUUUUCCUGGAUUACUGUUUCAAAAGCUUUGAUAACAAGGUUAGUACUAGUCCUGUUUCCAAAGCGGAUUGAAAAUAUGUCAGAAGGAUGUUCAUAAUUUCUAACCUUAUUUUAUGAUGGAUAAUUACUGUCCAGGACCCAGCGGGCAUUUUUGCUGUUUUGUAUGUACAUAAUAAAGAACUGCAGUUCCCAGUGGGCAAUGCAUGGAGUUCACCCGGAACCAGAAACUACGAAGGUCGCCUGAUUGCGCAGGCAUGGUGUUGAGUGGUUCGGUGAUAAAAUGUUCUAACGUAGACCCAUGCCAAGUUUGUCUUUAUUAAGAAUAAAUAUAGCAUUUGCCAAGCUCAGCUUUCUAACAGAGUAUCUGACUCUUCCAGGGGUCAAAGAGUUGCUUUUGCAUAAUUUAAACUCCCAACCAACAUUCCUUGCUCAACUUCUUUGUGUGAACAAGAACAAGUUUUCAGUCCUUAAUGUAAACUUCAAGAAAUAAUCAGUCUGAGGUUAAAAGAACAACUUUGCAAACAAACAGCAAAGCCUAUAGAGGACAGGCUGCCUGGCUGCUCAAGAGGUGAAGUGUAAGACAAUGGAAUUGGGCCUGCAUCAAACCAGACAACACUGGCUAAGUUAUUUGAUUCAAGGAAGCUUGCAGACCAGAUUGAGACUCAUUUAGCAGAUUAAAUAGCUGAUCUAUCUAUCAAUAGUUGGGAGAUUUGUGUACUCACAGCAUUAAUUUUGGGUGUCUAGGAUCUCUGUCCGCAAAAGCUUUUAGACUCCCUGUGAAUUUCCCAGCAAAGGUAUCUGAAAAACAUCACGUGUGAAGUCACCAAGUUACAGAAGCCCUCCAUUGAUCAUAUCGAUCAAGAAUCUUGGCCCUAGCAGUCUCCGUGAUACACAAGCCAGGGCAAUAUGAUAGCAAGCUGUUACCCAUGCAGUAGGCUCCCUCUCUCCACACAGCUGAUGAAUCCAAAGAAAUUGAAUUGACUUUAUUUCUUAUAUCCUUCACAUACAUGAGGAGUAAAAAUCUUUAUGUUACAUCUCCGUCUAAAUGUGCAAUUUAUAGUAAUUUGUAAUAAAUGGUAUGUACAACAGAACAGCUAAUAUAGCAUAGAAAUACAUUUGAAUCAGCGUAAAUUAAUCAGUCUGAUGGCCUGGUGGAAGAAGCUGUCCCGGAGCCCGUUGGUCCUGGCUUUUAUGCUGCGGUACCGUUUCCCGGAUGUUAGCAGCUGGAAUAGUUUGUGGUUGGGGUGACUCGGGUCCCCAAUGAUCCUUCAGGCCCUUUUUAUGCAACUAUCACUGUACAUGUCCUGAAUUAUGGGGAGUUCACAUCUACAGAUGCACUGGGCUGUUUGCGCAACUCUUUGCAGAGUCCUGCGAUUAAGGGAAGCACAAUUCCCAUUCUAGGCAGUGAUGCAGCCAGUCAGGAUGCUGUCAGUUGUGCCUCUGUAGAAAUUUCUUAGGAUUUUGGGGGCCAUACCAAUCUUCAACCGUCUGAGGUGAAAGAGGCACUGUUAUGUUUUUUUCAUCACACAGCCACAUGAAGACAACACAUCUCAUGUACAGACCACAUGAGAUCCUCAGUGAUGUGUAUGCCGAGGAACUUAAAGCUGUUCACCCUCGCAACCUCAAAUCCAUUGAUGUUGAUAGGGAUUAUAGACUGUCUUCAUUCCUCCUGUAGUCCACAACCAGCUCCUUUGUUUUUAUAACAUUGAGGAAGAGGUUGCUUCCUUAACACCACUUCGUCAGGGUGGUGACUUCUUCUCUGUAGGCCACCUCAUUAUUAUUUGAGAUAAUUAAUGUAGUAUCAUCAGAAAAUUUAAUUAGCAGAUUGGAGCUGUGGGUGGCGAGAGUAAAGGAGGGGGCUUAGGGCAGAGCCCUGAGGGGCACCUAUGUUGAGGGUCAGAGGGGCAGACACCAAUACAGUUUGGCACCAGUGGUGUUGUUGGAGUAACCAGUUAGCAAUAAACUCAAUGUCGGACUGCCUUAGGGACUCCAGCACCAGAUUUUACCUCAGGAUUUACUCCCGAAGCCUUCCACAUGAGUGUGUAUAGUCACAAAGCAGUGGAGGUUUGUGAUCAGUUUUCCCUCUCCCAGAUGAGCUGCCAAACCCCAUCUGCCCAAAGUGACUGGUUUUCAGGCACCAGUAACCCACCUUUGCCCCUUCUCCUGUCAAUAGAAGCAGUUCUUCUGGGCUUAGUAGCUAAGCCAUAUGUGAACACCAGGAGCUGAGCUUGGUUGGCAGAGGCUGUUUGAGAUGCACGCCAUUGGGACCAUUUAACACAAAGUGGAAACUUAUACCCACCAUCACCCAUGACUAUGACAACCUAAAGGAACAAGUCACCAAUGAGCAAAUUAAAGACAGUAUAAAUAUUAGAGCACAGACAAGCUAAUUAGGCAUGGUAUAGGAACGAUAAGAAGAAUGAUAGAAAGAAAGGGUGAUUAGAAUCUAUAACUCUGCCUUCGAUUUCUGCGACAGAAGACUCACUCGCCUGCAACUCAUUGGUAUGUCUUUUCAGCUUAAAGAAAUUGUACAUGUGUAAUGGAAAUCUUUUGAGAUUUAGAAAUCACAUGUAAUUUGGAAACCUUUUAUAAGAUUGAAAUGUUGAGAGUUUUAAAUGUGUUUUUAAAAAUGUUAUCAAAAUAUAAAUGUCUGUCACUAAGAAUAA